AUAUUGGACAAUUGGGGCAACCCUGAUCCAGCCAUGCCGCGUGUGUGAAGAAGGUCUUCGGAUCGUAAAGCACUCUAAGCUGGGAGGAAGGGCUUUAGGUUAAUACCCUGAAGUUUUGACGUUUCCAACAGAAUAAGCACCUGCUAUCGCUGUGCCAGCUGCCUCAGUAAUACAGAGGGUGCAAGCGUUAAUCGGAAUUACUGGGCGUAAAGCGCGCGUAGGUGGUUCAGUAAGAUGGGUGUGAAAUCCCCGGGCUUAACCUGGGAACUGCUUUCAUAACUGCUGAGCUAGAGUACGGUAGAGGGUAGUGGAAUUUCCUGUGUAGCGGUGAAAUGCGUAGAUAUAGGAAGGAACACCAGUGGCGAAGGCGACUACCUGGACUGAUACUGACACUGAGGUGCGAAAGCGUGGGGAGCAAACA
rnacentral:rRNA from 1 species